GGAGAAGGCUUGUGAGGGGGAAAUGUGAGAGGAGAAGGGGCGCGAGGGGGAACAGCGAGGGGAGAAGGGGUCCCGCCUCCUGGCCGCGCCGCCCUAGGUGUCGCCGCCUGGCGGUUACGAGGAGGCCGCCUCCUGCUUGCCGGCCUGGCGGUCCUACUCAACACCGCAAGAUUUCAAAAGGGAAAUUCCUCCAGGGCUGAGUCACAGGGAAGAAAGCGAUUUCCUCCGCCUCUUCCAAAGCGGUUUGGAAAUUGCUCUCUUCAUGUCAUCAUAAUAAACCACUAGAAACUUGCAUUUACUUUUGACUGAUUAUUGAAGUGUCUGGUUAUGGAGAACAAAGAAAUUGGAGAAAUGUGAAGCUUAAGCUUCUGCUGUGCUGCAGCGAAGAAGUCUGGGAAGUUUAGGAAGAUAUCCUCUUGAUUAAAUGGGGCUAAAUGUCAGCAGAAUUGAAGAAAAGUAAAGGAACUUACCAAUACUUGAUCGAGACAGUGCUAAAAUAAAACACAUCAAAAGAAGAAUGAGUUCUGUUUGUCCCAGGGAGAACUUAGAUGCCAUAGACACUAUAUUGCAGAAAGGUUGUGGAAAAGAGGAUAGAAAUGAGUCACAACUUAUUUCCUGGUAUCAAUUGCAAUGCAAUGUGGUGAGCAGCUGGAUAUCUACAUAUGGAUUCCAAUACUUUUGUGGUAAGGUGGGACUACAAGAUCUAUGCAACCUGUCUUUCAAUUUUGGUAAGAGAAUAAAAAUAUUUUUGGAGAUUGCUAGUUUCUCAA
rnacentral:lncRNA from 1 species